ACUUUGUGUACGAUUGUACCGUAUGUUUGUGAGGGUACCGAACUUCUGGCGGAUCUAAGGGGGGACAUUUGGGGCAAAUGCCCCUCCCCCCUGCAGCGCCCAAAAUCGACGAAAAUGUUCGUUUUUUCGAGGAUAAAACGAAAACUAAACUUUUCUUAGAAAAAAGUAUCUUUUAAACUGCACAGCAGUGCGAAAGGAGUCGAAAUCCGAUGAGUUUUUAGAAUUUGGAGAAACUUUUUGGGGGUAGGUAUGCCCCCCGCAGCGUCCAAGACCGCUUUUCUGGAUCCGCCAAUGAGAUUUGGAGGAAUCUGGAGGAUUUUUGUAACUGAUCUGGAGGAUUACAGCCUUCUACAUCUGGCAGCACUGCCGAAAAUCUGAGAAACGCGAUUUGACCUUGGACGUGCCCCGUGCCAGUGCACUGGCCUUAGGGGUGCUGAAGAACUUGAUUUGGAUGCCGGCGGCGGCGACGACAGUGCGCCGGCGCACAUCUCUAUGGAGGUGGACACGGCGACCCGUGGGCGACCGCCGCUGCCGCGGUUUGCUACAGGUGGCCAUGGCCACUAAUCUGUCACGAACUUCUGACAGUGAACGCCAGUCGGUUCUCGGAUGUGAGGACGCGCCCGUCGAAUCAAGUGACGGAGAUGCACCGUGUGACAGUGUGCGUUUUCCGGGCGAGUUCGUUGCGCUGUGUGCCGGUCGUGCGCGGGACUGGUACCACCCGUCGUUCCACCAGUUAUCAGUGCUGCAGCGCGCCGUGCGCGAUCUCAGUGCCGCCGUCGAGGAGACUGUGCGCCGCGAGCUGCCGCCCGAGGACCGGCCGGCGCUGACCCGGCUGUAGCCGCUGGCUGACGGCGCGCUGUCGCUGCGUCCGCCGACCCUGCGCCGGCCGCGCCGGGAGGCCGAGCUGCUGACCCAGCUGCAGCAGCUGGCGGUGGCCCUGGACGGCGCCUGCCCCCUGGUGGCGGGUGGCAGCUGCGGGAGCCACGUGACGCCGUCUGCGCUCUCGGCAGCGCGCCACCUGGAGCCGCAUGCAGACCGCGUUGCCAGAGCUGCGUCGUCUGACGUCGGGUCUGCUGCGACUGGUGACGCGCCAGAGGACGCGCUGGUCACCGCCGCGAGCCCGGAUCGAGACGGACACGGAGACAGUUCCGAACGGAGCCUCCCUCACCAGGAGAGCUUGACGCUGCUGCGAGCACCACAGGGCUACUAGCGGUACGUCACGUGCUGCUGGUUUUCUAGAGACGGAUGUUUGCUGAUAUUAGGCUGUUAAGACUGAGCCGUGAUGCAGUGGCCGGUGGGAGUGCCGGCGCCGGUCGUGGUGGACCUGACGCCCAGCGCUCCGCUUCGCGCUGCUACCACACAGGUCUCUGAAUGGAGCUGCGUUCCGGUGGGCGGCUGACUGCGCUCUCUCGGUCUGGCCCAGUACGCCGACGCGUUCGUCGCCCGCUCUGUGGAUGGCGCCCGGCUUCUGGGGCUCACCGAACAGGCUAUGGAAGACGAGCCUGACGUCGGUCUCGACGUGGCGACCUCGGAGCCAGCGUGUUGGGUCUCGGCUUCCCGCCACUCACCGGCGGACCUUUCCGCUUCGUGGACCGCAUCGGUCCCGCACAGCUAGUCAAGGACAUGGAGCGCUUCGCCGUCGUCAAUGGCGUCGGCUUCGAGCCGUGCCUGACCGUGCACUACCAGGCCGCUAGCGGCACCAAGUUCUGUUCGGCCGGGCCUCGUGUAAUGCCCACAUGUGAUGACCGAGUGUAUACGCAUGUGAAGCCGCUCCGCGUGUGUACCAGCGCUGGGCGUGUUCAGUUUCAAAGUAAAUAUAGAACCCUGGUGAUCAA